rnacentral:misc_RNA from 1 species
GAUGAAGAACGCAGCGAAAUGCGAUAAGUAAUGUGAAUUGCAGAAUUCAGUGAAUCAUCGAAUCUUUGAACGCACAUUGCGCCCGCCAGUAUUCUGGCGGGCAUGCCUGUUCGAGCGUCAUUACAACCCUCAGGCCCCCGGGCCUGGCGUUGGGGAUCGGCGGAGCCCCCCGUGGGCACACGCCGUCCCCUAAAUACAGUGGCGGUCCCGCCGCAGCUUCCAUCGCGUAGUAGCUAACACCUCGCGACUGGAGAGCGGCGCGGCCACGCCGUAAAACACCCAACUCUUCUGAAGUUGACCUCGAAUCAGGUAGGAAUACCCGCUGAACUUAAGCAUAUCAAUAAGCGGAGGA